rnacentral:tRNA from 1 species
CGGGAAAUAGCUCAGCUUGGUAGAGCACCUGGUUUGGGACCAGGGGGUCGCAGGUU